AUUGAACGCUGGCGGCAGGCCUAACACAUGCAAGUCGAACGAGUGGCGGACGGGUGAUUAAUGUCUGGGAAACUGCCUGAUGGAGGGGGAUACCUACUGGAAACGGUAGCUAAUCCCGCAUACCAUCGGAUGUGCCCAUAUGGGCUUAGCUAGUUGGGGGGGUAAAGGCGCACCUAGGCGACGAUCCCUAGCUGGUCUGAGAGGAUGACCAGCAACACUGGAACUGAGACACGGUCCAGACUCCUACGGGAGGCAGCAGUGGGGAAUAUUGCACAAUGGGCGCAAGCCUGAUGCAGCAAUGCCGCGUGUAUGAAGAAGGCCUUCGGGUUGUAAAGUACUUUCAGCGGGGAGGCGUUACCCGCAGAAGAAGCACCGGCUAACUCCGUGCCAGCCGCCGCGGUAAUUC
rnacentral:rRNA from 1 species